GCCGGUGCCCAAGGCAGGGGGGAAACACCUGUUCCCAUCCCGAACACAGAAGUAAAGCCCCCUCGCAACCAUGGUACUGCCGGGACUCCCGGUGGAAGAGUAGGUCGGUGCCGACU
rnacentral:rRNA from 2 species